rnacentral:lncRNA from 1 species
UCACUCCAAACUUGGUUGCGGGGGGAGGAUUAUCAUUAAGAACCUCGCGGGCUGGCACCAUCGGAUCCUCAAGUGAACAAAUUACAUCCCGCAGUAUGGCGGCUACGAGAGUCACUACACCUGUGUCUCCAGUUUCUGUUGGGUCUUCACUUUAAAUCGACAAUAGGUACCAUAGCAGAGUCCAUACCCAAACCCUAAGGUGGAGGCAGCUGCUGAAUAUAUGAGGUUUAGGCAGUGGGGUGGUCUGCUCACGUCACGGUUCAAUCAAGUACUAGGCUUCCCUAUCCCAUACUAGGUACGAGAUUAGUACUUUCAAACACUUGACCACAAACAUCGUCACAUUUUGGCCUUAGCACAUUUAUUACUAGACAGACGGGGCAAUUCCACCGAGUCAUAACCAAAGCCCGACCCCAUCCAUCAUCCUUAUGGUUGUAGUAUAAGUAAGCAAGCAACUCCUAUAACUUGCGAGUGACACGAAAUCACUUGAAUUUUACCGAUU